CCGGGUAGCGCUGCGGGCAUCUUGGAGGCGGGGCGGGGCCCAGGAGACAGGACCCUCUGAAGGUCUCCCAGUUGGGGACCAAGCCCUGCUGCCUGUCACGUCUCUGUAGGAUCAUGAGGCUCUCGCCGAAGCCACGCUGAGAACCCGUGCGCGGACGCCUGGCCGAGGUGCGGUCCCUGGGAGGUGGUGUGUGCAGGCAGACACACAAUGGUCUUUUAGACACCUUACCGCCGCUUUCCUGGGCUGAACCCAGGCGGCAAGGCCGAGUUCUGAGCACCCAGGCGGCAGCCCUGAGAUCUCGCUCAGUUGGUCUGGACCUCACAUCACGUAGGGAUUGGGGUUCCAAGAGCUCCUUUUGUAAUGAAGAAGGGCCUUCCCCAUCUCUGAACACCGGGAGCCUGGCACCCUAGGACUGCGUGUCCUGAAUAGCAAACUGGUUUUCCUAGGAUGCAGUCUUGGCCCCACCCUGGGGAGCUCUGGACUGGUGCAGUGUCUCUUCUGGUCAGGGGCUGGGACCUGGCUGUCUCUGCUAGGUCACCUCUGUUGCUAACCUGACUCUACUAAACUGGACUGCGGGUGUAUCCAUGAAAUGUUUGCCAGUGAAUUGAGCUGCGGCUGCCUGCUAACCUGUGAACUGAACUGCCGACUUCUAGAGCACACAGACAGGAGUUGCUCCAAGGAACUUUCUAAACAGGUCCACUUCCCCCGCUUAUAAUAUUGAAAAAUGGAUGAAGUAGUCAGAGUUUCCAUGGCUUCGAUGAAAUACCAUGACCAAAAGGCAAGAUGAGGAGGAAAGAGUUUAUUCGGUUUACAUUUCCAGAUCACAGUCCAUCAUGGAGGAAGUCAACAGGAACUCGCCCGGGGCAGGAACCUGGAGGGACCCAGGCAUGUAGAAAUGGCCUUGUAAAUGUCGUCUUGUAGGAGAGCUGGGAGAGUCCCCUAAGGCCACACUGCUUUGUGGAUUUGGUAGAUCUGCCAGUAAUGGAGGCUCCUGAAUGUGACUCGUUGAAGCCAUCUCCUGUGUACCCUGGGCUUCAUCACUGCGGCCUUCAGCAGCGGCCAAUGGAUUUCUAUUUCUGAUGGGUGAGAGUGGCCGGCGUACAUUAAACCUUAGGUUUUCCUCCAAGUCUGAACUUGGGACUAGGAUAGAUGACAUGGACAAGUUUGCCGGGAUGUCGUCUAUCAGAGCAGAAUGGAGCAGUGACCCAUGAGCACUGUAAGGUGGAUUCAUGGAUGAUCUUGGAGCUGUGGGCCUCCCAGAAAGUAAGCAGUCAAAUGAGGUCCUAGAACCACUAUAGUAAUGUUGCCAGUCUCUCUCGUGAUUUUGAACAGCAGACCUGUCUUCCACAGUACCACCGCUGGACACAUCGUCAGCACUGACCUGGAUAACACCAUCAGAUUUCGCAUCCCCUAGAACAGGGGUCUUCUCAUCUUGGUCUCCACUGGGGUUCUCUUUAGCCAACUCACUGGGUAACCUGGUAUCUUGGAGCAUCCUUUGCCCAGGAGAAGGCUGCUUUGUUGCUGGCUCUGUGGUACUGGUUUUUCUUGGAGAUCCAGGGCUGGGCUCACUCCAUCUUAGAGAAUUUCCUCUGAGAUUUUCAGCAUUUUCCUCCACAUUUCUAUUUUGAGCAGUUGAUGUCCCGAGAAACCGGCUCCUUUUAUAGCUGGGAGGAGAGCGCAUCCCAGACAGCAGGAGCUCUUCCUCCAUGUGAGUCUCCUCUUCCGUGUCAUAGCUCUCUUGUUCAUUGUUUAGUGAUAUUGCAGAAUAAAAAUCUUCGUCAUGGA
rnacentral:lncRNA from 1 species